CGGACAGCGAUGAACGGGAUCAGUAUAUAUGAAGGAAUGCCCCAGAGAGAAGGCGGGUGGUGCGAGCCUUGAGCAGGAACAUAUAGAACCGGCCCGGGAGCUUCUGCAUGAAAAUGCAGCGCAGGCCUGCGUUAAGGGCAAAAGAGCGAACCGCGCAUGCGGCUUUUCGGAUGCGGCUGACCGGCUGUCAGAUGAAAAGGAAAAUGCAGGCGCAGUUAAUUAGGGUGGUACCGCCGGGAAAUCCGGUCCCUUGU
rnacentral:ncRNA from 1 species